CAGUAGCCACGGUAAUACGUAGGUGGCAAGCGUUGUCCGGAAUUAUUGGGCGUAAAGGGCUCGCAGGCGGUUUCUUAAGUCUGAUGUGAAAGCCACCGGCUCAACCGGGGAGGGUCAUUGGAAACUGGGAAACUUGAGUGCAGAAGAGGAGAGUGGAAUUCCACGUGUAACGGUGAAAUGCGUAGAGAUGUGGAGGAACACCAGUGGCGAAGGCGACUCUCUGGUCCGUAACUGACGCUGAGGAGCGAAAGCGUGGGGAGCGAACAGGAUUAGAUACCCCCGUAGUCCCUGUCUCUUAUAC
rnacentral:rRNA from 1 species